rnacentral:rRNA from 1 species
UACGAAGGGGGCGAGCGUUGUUCGGAAUUACUGGGCGUAAAGGGCGCGUAGGCGGCCGAUCAAGUCAGAUGGGAAAGUCCUGGGCUUAACCUGGGGACUGCAUUUGAUACUGGUUGGCUUGAAUGCAGGAGAGGAUAGCGGAAUUCCCAGUGUAGAGGUGAAAUUCGUAGAUAUUGGGAAGAACACCGGUGGCGAAGGCGGCUAUCUGGACUGUGAUUGACGCUGAGGCGCGAAAGCGUGGGGAGCAAACAGG